AGUAAAUAGUUAAACAUUGCAUAUAUAAUUCAAAUCUUGUUCAAACUUUUGUUUGACUAAAAUCUGAUUAGGUAGUUGCGCGGAAGGACCUAAUAAACUUCGAAAUACACACCGUCCCGCUGGCAUCAACGUGCAAGAAUAAACAGACAUGAAAGGGCGCGAAAACAACGUUGACGCCGGAAAUGCACGACGUCAUAUCCGUACAUAUUUGAAACAUCUUGAAAGAAAAUUGCCGCUGAUGAAGACCGUGAUGUCGAAAGCUUCGGCAUAAAAUAAAUACAGCGUUUUUGUUUAUAUAUAUAUAUAUUAUCGGUGAUGUAGACGACAUACGGACAAGAAAGACCAGAUUCGGCGUGCGUUGAAAUCGUCAAGAAAAUCUUUGAUGAAAUCGUUCGUGCCAAAGAAUAUGGGAUUUAAACAUGUUUCCAGGGAGGAGAUAAGAACUAACCAUACAAGACCUCUAGCGCAAGAAUUGUUCGCUGCAUCUGACCAAAAUAAAUCAAUAAUUGUUUUAGAUGGAACAUACAUAUAUAUACAAAAAAGUUCAAACUUUUCGUUCGCACGUCGGUCGUACUCCAUGCACAAGCACAGACCACUUGUCAAACCAAUGGUUGUUGUGGCCACCACUGGCUACAAUAUAUCUUUUUUGGGACCGUACUUGGCAGACGGCAAAAACUCAGACGCAAAUAUACUGAAACACAUCAUCAAUCAAAAUACUGAAGAUUUAAAGAGCUGGAUUCAGGAAGGUGAUGUGGUCGUAGUUGACAGAGGUUUCCGAGAUGCGUCAACUGUUCUCGAAGAACUUGGUGUAACUAUGCAGAUGCCAUCUUUUAUGCGAAGGGGGUCUACACAGCACACAAGCGAAGAGUCUAACAAGUCGAGGCUUGUCGCGAAGAUACGAUGGGUUGUCGAGUCAACCAAUGGCAGACUCAAGACAUGGACAUAUUAAGCCAGGACAAUGCAUAACACCCAAGUGCCAUUUAUUGAUAAAAUAUUUAAUCUAACAUUGAUAAUCAUUUCACAAAAUAGAUAACCCAUUCUUGCGUUAAAACGUACAUGGAGAAAACAGACUGAAACAGUCACGUUAUUUUCACUUAAUACAAUCCUACACAUAUAUAUUAACAUUAUUAAAAUGUCUUUACAAUAAUGUGUAUAUUUAUGUAAUGAGAUUCCUGUUAUGCAUAUGCUAUUUAUUUAAGGUGACUAUGUGCGAAUAGUUGGAGCAAUCUGUAACCGCUUCAGACCGGCUCUAAGUAGCGGGGACCCUGAACACGACAAAAUAGUUGCAGAGAGGAUGUUGUAUUUGUCAGGGCAGAACAACGAUUUACAACAAUUCAUCUCUGACAACGACAUAGAAAAAAUAACCAAUGCAUCGUGGAAACCGGUGGACGAACUAGACAUUUACUGUCCAAUAAUGACCGAGGAUGAACUAAGAUGUCUUAUCUUAGGUGUAUACACAGUAAAGCUAGCGGCUUCUUAUACACAAGAGCACAUGUCAAGUGACGGAAUAUACUCAAUUCACGGUUAUGUGCACAAUAGGAGUUUGCUGUGCUUGAAGUUCAAAAGUCGGCAUGUGUUCCGAAAGCAAUAUUGGUCUUACAUACGUUUCAAGGAGGGGUCAGUCGGUGCAUGGUUUUGCAGCUGCCCAGUGGGAGCACGUGUAGUUGGAACAUGUGCGCACGUUACAAGUGCGCUGUGGUAUCUUUGUUUCCGGCGACACCAAGCUGAUCAACUGUCAGAUGGUCCGAGAAAUUGGGCUGCAGACAUCUCAGAUGCUGCUAACGUGUCGUAUUAAAUAACCAUGUUUGGGGAUUCAUAUAUAUAGCCUGCAUUAGCUGCAUUGGUGGCGUUAUUUAAAAAAAAUGCGUACUUUAUUAUUUGAAAUCAUAUUUGUUUCAAAAAUGAAUAGUGAUUGUUUCUCACAGCGCUCAAUCCAAUUCAAUGUCACUCGUACAUCUUAUCAGUUUCUGCAGUACAUAUAUAAACGAGUCGGUGUUUAUGUCACGUCGUAAUUAUUAGUGUAAGGUGUAAAAUCAUAAACAAUUUCAAUAUUGUUUCCUGCAUAGAUUAUUUAAUAAUUAAAUAUGUUUUAAUUUAAAUAUAUGUUAGUAAAUUACAUUAAAAAUUAUCACUUUCUGUCGGCACACCAGAAAUCUGUUCUUGAGAAAAAAAUACGCGAAUCUGAACUACAUGUAUAGGUAAUUUAUUAUAUACAAGGUUAUGCAAUCAGGAUAUGUAAACGGAAUAUGGUAUUACAAUAGGUAAUGAUAUUACACCGUAUGUGUUGUUGUUUUAUUAAUCGGUUCGUUGUUACUUAUAGGAAUGUCAUAGUUUUAUUAAGAUGCGAUUGAAACCAAUCUUUCAAAUGUAAUAACAAUUUUGUGAUUGUUUUGCGCAAAAAAAAAUGGCCAUGUGAAGCAGUAAUAUUGUUUAAUAUGCAUUAUAUUGUUAAUAUGAUAUGUUAUACGUGAAUUUGAUUUAUGAAAAUGAAUUAAAUCA